rnacentral:lncRNA from 1 species
CAAAAUCAUAUUAAGUUCAAAAUAAAUGUCAUUCUUCAAUUUAAUUUUGUGGUAAUUGAAUUUAAUGAUUAUUUAAUUUGGUUUUGUCUUGAAUUAUGCAAUUGUGAGACACCUAUUGAUGUAUAUCUUGUCAUUGGUAGAAGAAAAGGAUUGUCACUCCGCUGUGGUGUAAAAAAAAAAAACUAUGUUUAAUAACAGCAUGUAUUGAUCUUUGUAUUAAAGAUAGAGAAAAAAAACAACUCUCAAAACAUAUCAACAAAUAAAAGAGGUCAUUCCAGUCCA